rnacentral:rRNA from 1 species
UACGUAGGGGCCUAGCGUUGUCCGGAUUUAUUGGGCGUAAAGAGCUCGUAGGCGGCUUGGUAAGUCAGGUGUGAAAUCUCCACGCUCAACGUGGAGGGGCCACCCGAAACUGCCAUGGCUUGAGUCCGGUAGGGGAGUGUGGAAUUCCCGGUGUAGCGGUGAAAUGCGCAGAUAUCGGGAGGAACACCGGUGGCGAAGGCGGUUCUCUGGGCCUUAACUGACGCUGAGGAGCGAAAGCGUGGGGAGCGAACAGG